rnacentral:lncRNA from 1 species
AAUGGUUGACCAAAAUUUUUAUUUAUAUUUUUAAAAAUUUUAAAAUAUUUAAUAUAUUCAUGAUUGAUCAAAAUACCCUUAUUGAUUUUCAAAAAAAAAUUUAGAUAUCUCCAAGCCAAUAAAGUUUACUGAUAGAAAUUAAAAUUUAGAAGGGUGUUUCGGUAAUUCAGUAUGAAUUUGAAAAUUUUGAAUAUUAGUAUGAUACCUCGCUUUACAGAUAGUCAUCCAUCCUAAAACUAGAAAUUAUUUCAGGAUGAAUUUACCGACCGUCCCUAGAGCAAGUGGCAAAAGGCUUGGUGGUUGGUACCUGAGACUCAAGUUUGAAUCUUAGCUGAUUCACAUUUCUAGCUAAGUUUAUUUCUAAAUGAAACAAACGAAGCGGGUAGCAUGCUAUCUAUUUCUAAAAAAAAAAAAAAAAUUCACGACGAAUUUGAAAAUUUUGAAUAUUAGUAUGAUGUCUCGCUUUACAGAUAAUCAUCCAUCCUAAAACUAUUCUAGUCCUAUCACACUUGACUUUCUUAACUUUUUAGGUCUAGCCACACCCAAAAUGUUAUAUUGGACUGAAAGUUCGCCUUUAAUUAUCU